rnacentral:rRNA from 1 species
AGAGUUUGAUCCUGGCUCAGAGCGAACGCUGGCGGCAGGCCUAACACAUGCAAGUCGAACGAACUCUUCGGAGUUAGUGGCGGACGGGUGAGUAACACGUGGGAACGUGCCUUUAGGUUCGGAAUAACUCAGGGAAACUUGUGCUAAUACCGAAUGUGCCCUUCGGGGGAAAGAUUUAUCGCCUUUAGAGCGGCCCGCGUCUGAUUAGCUAGUUGGUGAGGUAAAGGCUCACCAAGGCGACGAUCAGUAGCUGGUCUGAGAGGAUGAUCAGCCACAUUGGGACUGAGACACGGCCCAAACUCCUACGGGAGGCAGCAGUGGGGAAUCUUGCGCAAUGGGCGAAAGCCUGACGCAGCCAUGCCGCGUGAAUGAUGAAGGUCUUAGGAUUGUAAAAUUCUUUCACCGGGGACGAUAAUGACGGUACCCGGGGAAGAAGCCCCGGCUAACUUCGUGCCAGCAGCCGCGGUAAUACGAAGGGGGCUAGCGUUGCUCGGAAUUACUGGGCGUAAAGGGAGCGUAGGCGGACAUUUAAGUCAGGGGUGAAAUCCCGGGGCUCAACCUCGGAAUUGCCUUUGAUACUGGGUGUCUUGAGUAUGAGAGAGGUGUGUGGAACUCCGAGUGUAGAGGUGAAAUUCGUAGAUAUUCGGAAGAACACCAGUGGCGAAGGCGACACACUGGCUCAUUACUGACGCUGAGGCUCGAAAGCGUGGGGAGCAAACAGGAUUAGAUACCCUGGUAGUCC